rnacentral:rRNA from 1 species
AUACGGAGGACGCGAGCGUUAUCCGGAUUCAUUGGGUUUGAAGGGUGCGCAGGCGGCCGUGCAAGUCAGCGGUGAAAGCCCGGGGCUCAACCCCGGAAGUGCCGUUGAUACUGCAUGGCUGGAAUGCGGUCGAGGCGGGCGGGACGGGGCGUGUGGCGGGGGAAUGCGUAGAUAUGCCACAGAACGCCGUUAGCGGAGGCAGCUCGCCAGGCCUGCAGUGACGCUCGGGCACGAAAGCGUGGGGAUCGAACAGGAUUGGAUGCCCUGGUAGUCCACGCCGUAAACGAUGGGCGCUCGUCGUCGGCGGCAGACAGUCGGCGGCCAAGCGAAAGCGAUAAGCGCCCCACCUGGGGAGUACGGUCGCAAGGCUGAAACUCAAAUGAAUUGACGGGG